GCGUUGUUGGUUCUGAUGAGUGAAUCAUUGUCUUUUGAGCAAUCGGUCACUGGUUCGAAUCCAGUACAACGCGCCA
rnacentral:tRNA from 1 species